UUUAUUCCAGUGGGCAGGCAUGAUGACGGGGAGAGACUGAGAGAGAUGGUCCCGGAGCCAGGCUGUGGGAAUGUUCCCCGAGAGUCUGACAGCAGCUGCGCUGUAUCUCAGUCUGGUUACAGAAACAACACGUUCCUGAGCCUGCUGUGGUCAUCAUUAUUGGUCUGUGUAGGUGAGGGGGCCAACGCGAUGUCCCAGGAGCCAACCACAUCUCUGCCAUUUCUGAAGAUGGGAAGGUCUGUCGCAUUUGCUCUGGAGAUGCCAAAAAGUUGCCAUGCUCACGUCAGAGAAGCGAUCAUCAGCCAAGCAGACUACACGGCAAUGGACACACUAUGUUAGAAAAUGAAGACGGAUGAGGCAAAGCAGGAUCAGAACACAGCCAGAGGUGUUCUCGUCAUGAGACCCACCAGUGUUUCAGUCCAAGGUGUGUCCACAGGUCCCCCAUGAGGCCUUCAUUCCUAGCUGUUACCCCAAACCCACACGUGACACAGCAGAAAGACACCCACGAAUAGAAAGGCAUAUGAUGGACCCCAGGAUC